AUUGAACGCUGGCGGCAGGCCUAACACAUGCAAGUCGAACGGUGGCACAGAGAGCUUGCUCUCGGGUGACGAGUGGCGGACGGGUGAGUAAUGUCUGGGAAACUGCCCGAUGGAGGGGGAUAACUACUGGAAACGGUAGCUAAUACCGCAUAACGUCUUCGGACCAAAGUGGGGGACCUUCGGGCCUCACACCAUCGGAUGUGCCCAGAUGGGAUUAGCUAGUAGGUGGGGUAAUGGCUCACCUAGGCGACGAUCCCUAGCUGGUCUGAGAGGAUGACCAGCGAACUGGGAACUGAGGCACGGUCCAGAAUCCUGCGGGAGGCAACAGGGGGGAAAAUUGCAUAAUGGGCGCAAGCCUGAUGCAGCCAAGCCGCGUGUAUGAAGAAGGCCUUCGGGUUGUAAAGUACUUUCAGCGGGGGGGAAGGCGUUAAGGUUAAUAACCUUGGCGAUUGACGUUACCCGCAGAAGAAGCACCGGCUAACUCCGUGCCAGCAGCCGCGGUAA
rnacentral:rRNA from 1 species